UACGGAGGGUGCGAGCGUUGUCCGGAAUCAUUGGGCGUAAAGGGCGCGUAGGUGGCCCGGUCAGUUCGUGGUGAAAGCGCGGGGCUCAACCCUGCGUCGGCCAUGAAUACUGCCGCGGCUGGAGCACUGUAGAGGCAGGCGGAAUUCCGGGUGUAGCGGUGGAAUGCGUAGAGAUCCGGAAGAACACCGGUGGCGAAGGCGGGUCUCUGGGCCGAUACUGACGCUGAGGAGCGAAAGCGUGGGGAGCAAACGGG
rnacentral:rRNA from 1 species